rnacentral:rRNA from 1 species
GUGAACGCUGGCGGUAGGCCUAACACAUGCAAGUCGAACGGCAGCACAGUAAGAGCUUGCCCUUACGGGUGGCGAGUGGCGGACGGGUGAGGAAUACAUCGGAAUCUACUUUUUCGUGGGGGAUAACGUAGGGAAACUUACGCUAAUACCGCAUACGACCUACGGGUGAAAGCAGGGGAUCUUCGGACCUUGCGCGAUUGAAUGAGCCGAUGUCGGAUUAGCUAGUUGGCGGGGUAAAGGCCCACCAAGGCGACGAUCCGUAGCUGGUCUGAGAGGAUGAUCAGCCACACUGGAACUGAGACACGGUCCAGACUCCUACGGGAGGCAGCAGUGGGGAAUAUUGGACAAUGGGCGCAAGCCUGAUCCAGCCAUACCGCGUGGGUGAAGAAGGCCUUCGGGUUGUAAAGCCCUUUUGUUGGGAAAGAAAAGCAGCAGGUUAAUACCCCGCUGUUCUGACGGUACCCAAAGAAUAAGCACUGGCUAACUUCGUG